CUUAUAUUUGCUUAUAAAGCUAUACAUAGAGAAGAUAUCACAAAACAGAUGCUGGAAAACUUAUGCUCAGAGCACAGGCAAACGGCGGAGGAUAUCAAGGCAAGGCUGAAGGAAAUUAUGGAAUAGGUUAAAGGAAUUCAUGCUAGUUUACCCGCAGAUAACCGAAAUAGUUUGCAAACACCAAAAUGCACAACUGGGCAAAUAGUUCUAAACAAAACGCGUACCAAAAAAGAAGAAGACAAUGUGACUCAAGCAAUAGUACAACGUUCUACAGAAAAUGGUAUACAUGAUCGAUUGGGUGAAGCCCUACAUAUCUGCUUUAAUUCAGUGAAGACUAUUUAUGGAAUGAUUACCUCUCUCAGAGUCGGAUGCAUCGAGUUUACAAUCCACUUUAACUCGUUCGAUAGCUGUUUGCAAUUCCUUGAAGAUGUCGUUAGUGCAAAAGUAGCGAUUCAUUUUAAACCUC